rnacentral:lncRNA from 1 species
CUGAUUCUUCCUUCCGGUUCAUUUUGGUUUCUUAGGCGUGGAAUGAACACACACAUACAUAUAUAUAUAUAUAUAUACCUCGCUGAUAGAGGUUAUCAAGUUGUGGAACUACAUACACAGUAUGUUGUUAUUGAGUUGAAAAGUGUAAGCUGGGGAGCUUUUUCUAAGAAUAAUAGAAGCCCCUAUGAUUUCAUGGCAGCUAUCUUUGUUCGGUCCUUUACUAUUAGAUUUCUCUGAAAUUGAAAAUACAAACACAAUGAGUGAUAAUGAAGUAUGUGCAAACGAAGAGUUGAAAUCCUAGAAUAGUACCUUGGGAUCUCAGGAUCUUCUGGAGUUCCAACUGCAACGAAUAAAGGAGCCAUAAGCAAAACAGAUCCAUGGAAUUAAUUCAACAGCUUCUUGAUCGAGGCGGUUCUCAAUCGAGGCAGUUCAUAUACAGACUGCUCCAUGAGAACGAUGAAAAUCAGAAAGUGUUUUUGAUUAGCUUCUGAAUCUAGCUCUUAGUAUGAUUUUUUUUUUUCAAAUGUGUGGUUUGAUGUUUAAUAAUGUGAUGCUUCUGAAUCGUGUUUUGACUGCUACGUUGUAUCUCAAUCUAGAUUCAAAUUGUGUGGUGGCUUGAUGAGUUUAGUGCUUAUCUGUUAAUGAUGUGUUCAAGACUUAUUUAGAGGGGUG